AUUGAACGCUGGCGGCAGGCCUAACACAUGCAAGUCGAAUGGUAACAGGAAACAGCUUGCUGUUUCGCUGACGAGUGGCGGACGGGUGAGUAAUGUCUGGGAAACUGCCUGAUGGAGGGGGAUAACUACUGGAAACGGUAGCUAAUACCGCAUAACGUCGCAAGACCAAAGAGGGGGACCUUCGGGCAUCUUGCCAUCAGAUGUGCCCAGAUGGGAUUAGCUAGUAGGUGGGGUAACGGCUCACCUAGGCGACGAUCCCUAGCUGGUCUGAGAGGAUGACCAGCCACACUGGAACUGAGACACGGUCCAGACUCCUACGGGAGGCAGCAGUGGGGAAUAUUGCACAAUGGGCGCAAGCCUGAUGCAGCCAUGCCGCGUGUAUGAAGAAGGCCUUCGGGUUGUAAAGUACUUUCAGCGGGGAGGAAGGGAGUAAAGUUAAUACCUUUGCUCAUUGACGUUACCCGCAGAAGAAGCACCGGCUAACUCCGUG
rnacentral:rRNA from 1 species